rnacentral:lncRNA from 1 species
CGGACUCAACUUGCCCUUCUUACCGAACCUUAAUAUCUUAUUCCAAGUAGAAACCUUUAAGAUGACCAUAUCACCUACUGAGUACUCAAUCUCCUUACGCUUCAAAUCUGCAUACGACUUUUUCCUAUCAGAUGCUUCUUUUAACCGGUCCCUAAUUAUUCUGACCUUAUCCUCAGUAUCAGCUACCAACUCUGAUCCAAGAAUUUGUCACUCUCCUAGUUCAGUCCAACAACUAGGUGUACGACACCUUCGACCAUACAGUGCUUCAU